CGAAAAUGUUAAAGUUCUUAUUUCAUGGUAUAACUUUGGUAUGCUUGGACCUAGAGUCUUCAAACUUGACAUUAAGGUUGGCCAGGAUUAAUAGAUGACCACUGGUCAUUUCAAGGUCAUUCAUUUGAAGGUGAAGGUCACUGUGACCUUCAAUAUAAAAAUGUUAAAGUUGUUAUAACUUUGGUAUGCUUGGACCUAGAGUCUUGAAACUUGACAUGAAGGUUGGCCAGAACUAGUAAGUAACCACUGGACAUUUCAAGGUCAUUCAUUUGAAGGUCAAGGUCACUGUGACCUUGAAUGUAAAAAUGUUAAAGUUGUUAUAACUUUGGUAUGCUUGGACCUAGAGUCUUGAAACUUGACAUGAAGGUUGGCCAGAACUAGUAAGUAACCACUGGACAUUUCAAGGUCAUUCAUUUGAAGGUCAAGGUCACUGUGACCUUGAAUGUAAAAAUGUUAAAGUUCUUAUUUCAUGUUAUAACUUUGGUAUGCUUGUACCUAGAGUCUUCAAACUUGAAAUAAAGAUUGGCCAGUACUAGAAGAUGACCACUGGUCAUUUCAAUGUCAUUCAUUUGAAGGUCAAGGUCACUGUGACCUUAAAUGUUAAAAUGUUAAAAUUGUUAUAACUUUGGUAUGCUUGGACAUAGAGUCUUCAAACUUGACAUGAAGGUUUGCAAGCACACUUAGAUGACCACUGGUCAUUUCAAGGUCAUUCAUUCUAAGGUCAAGGUCACUGUGACCUUGAAUGUAAAAAUGUUAAAGUUCUUAUAACUUUGGUAGGUAAAAAUGUUAAAGUUCUUAUUCCAUGUUAUAACUUUGGUAUGCUUGUACCUAGAGUCUUCAAACUUGACAUAAAGGUUGGCCAGUACUAGAAGAUCACCACUGCUCAUUUCAAUGUCAUUCAUUUGAUUUCUGUGUAGGUAUGUGAAAGCAAAACAAUAAAUAGUAUUAUUUCAUCUAAGUUUAUUUUCUUACAUUUGAUAAUGAAAUUGAUGGAAACUUCAAACAAUAUCUUACUAAUUUGCUAAUAAAAAAAUUGAGAUCAAACUUU